GGGUUGGUAGUUAAUAAUAUAAUGAAAGUCUUGUAAACUUUAGUUAGCUUAGUCUUCAGUCCU
rnacentral:tRNA from 2 species